UACGUAGGGUGCGAGCGUUAAUCGGAAUUACUGGGCGUAAAGCGUGCGCAGGCGGUUCGUUGUGUCGGCGGUGAAAGCCCCGGGCUCAACCUGGGAAUUGCAUUUGAGACUGCUCUGCUCGGGUGCGGAAGAGGGAAGCGGAAUUUCCGGUGUAGCGGUGAAAUGCGUAGAUAUCGGAAGGAACACCAGUGGCGAAAGCGGCUUCCUGGUCCGACACCGACGUUCAGGCACGAAAGCGUGGGGAGCAAACAGG
rnacentral:rRNA from 1 species